rnacentral:rRNA from 1 species
AUUGAACGCUGGCGGCAGGCCUAACACAUGCAAGUCGAGCGGAGCGGCGGACGGGUGAGUAAUGCCUAGGAAUCUGCCUGGUAGUGGGGGAUAACGUCCGGAAACGGGAGCUAAUACCGCAUACUAUCAGAUGAGCCUAGGUCGGUGUGGCUAGUUGGUGGGGUAAAGGCCUACAAAGUCGACGAUCCGUAACUGGUCUGAGAGGAUGAUCAGUCACACUGGAACUGAGACACGGUACAGACUCCUACGGGAGUCAGCAGCGGGGAAUAUUGGACAAUGGGCGCAAGCCUGCUCGAGCCAUGCCGCGUGUGUGAAGAAGGUCUUCGGAUUGUAAAGCACUUUAAGUUGGGAGGCGUUACCAACAGAAUAAGCACCGGCUAACUUCGUGCCAGCAGCCGCGGUAAUUC